rnacentral:lncRNA from 1 species
GUUUACAAGGCACACACUGUUUCGUCAGUUUGCAGUGCUUGCUGACACAUCCUUCAAUUAUAUUAAAGUAAAACCCUUAUUAGUGCAGUCUAGAACGACCAUGACAGCUAUAUCCUCUUCAAGUCAUUGUACAUCUUCAAUAGACGGUAAGCAUGUGGAUGUAGUCAGUGAUCAGGCAGCCCUUCAACUUUCACCAAAAGGGAAGUUGUCGGAAUCCCCAAAAGAAGAGUCCUUGGAGGAGCCCUCCAUGCGCCAGAGCAGCCCCGCAGAGACUGUUGAUUAACCCAGCAGAAGCCUGGGCUGCGCAGACGGGGCCUCAGAAAGAGUGGCCUCGCCGUCCUGGUGUAAGGUGCCUCCCUCGGAAAGGAUACUAUCUCCAAGGAUUUUCUAAACUAAUUGUUUAAUCUCUCCAGAUUAUGUAUAUUAACCAGCACUGCGCUCGAAUAGACCUCAAUGCGCGCCUUGUGCGCGCUCCUUUCCACGCCUUUAAGGAAAGCCCUGGCUGGUGCUGGGUGAGCGGGGCGCACUGAACCUCCGGGGCAACCACAUCCAUUCAGGAGCUCCGGGGACUCAGAAGAGCCCAGGCGUCUAAGAGUGGGAAGGGACGGACUUUAAUUAAAAAGUUUGACUCCCUCUCUAA